rfam:Oryza sativa (indica cultivar-group) chromosome 11, whole genome shotgun sequence.
AAUAAAUGCAGUUUUAUACUGUGCAUGUCCAACGUUUAAUCGCUCGUCUUAUUUGAAAUUUUUUUAUGUUUAGUAUUUUUAUUGUUAUUAGAUGAUAAAACACGAAUAAUAUAUAUUUUAUGUGUGACUAAUAUUUUUUUUGUUUUUUCAUAAAUUUUUUUAAAUAAGACGGACGGUCUAACGUUAGACACGGAUAUCCACGGCUGUACUUCAU